GCGCGGCCACCCAGAAAUUUUGUCUGCAACUUCUACCAACCUUCUCUAUCUAUCAAGGAACGCGUCUGGUAACCGUGUUUUCUCUAAUUUUUCUCUGUUAAACAUCUUUAAUUACUACACAAAUAACAAAACCAUCCUUUUUUUUGUUGUUUUCACCUUUUUAAUUUAUACUGCUCACGUACCUUUCAAUCAUUACGCGGUUAGUUCGUUACCUAGAAAAUCAAGACUUCAACUGCCUUUUUCUAGUAUUCAAAACCAAAGUUGGUGUGUUUUAUACUAAAUUCCAGUUGACA
rnacentral:lncRNA from 1 species